rnacentral:rRNA from 1 species
UAACUGCGAGUGAAGCGGGAAAAGCUCAAAUUUAAAAUCUGGCGGUCUUUGGUCGUCCGAGUUGUAGUCUGGAGAAGUGCUUUCCGCGCUGGACCGUGUACAAGUCUCUUGGAACAGAGCGUCAUAGAGGGUGAGAAUCCCGUCUUUGACACGGACUACCAGUCGCUUUGUGAUGCGCUCUCAAAGAGUCGAGUUGUUUGGGAAUGCAGCUCAAAAUGGGUGGUGAAUUCCAUCUAAAGCUAAAUAUUGGCGAGAGACCGAUAGCGAACAAGUACCGUGAGGGAAAGAUGAAAAGCACUUUGGAAAGAGAGUUAAACAGUACGUGAAAUUGCUGAAAGGGAAACGCUUGAAGUCAGUCGCGUUGGCCAGAACUCAGCCUUGCUCUUUUGCUUGGUGCAUUUUCUGGUUGACGGGUCAGCAUCAGUUUUGAUCGUUGGAGAAAGGUCAGAGGAAUGUGGCACCUCCGGGUGUGUUAUAGCCUCUGGUCACAUACGACGAUUGGGACUGAGGGUCUCAGCACGCCUCUAAGGCCGGGGUUCGCCCACGUUCGUGCUUAGGAUGCUGGCAUAAUGGCUUUAAGCGACCCGUCUUGAAACACGGACCAAGGAGUCUAACAUACCUGCGAGUGUUUGGGUGGAAAACCCGAGCGCGUAAUGAAAGUGAAAGUUGAGAUCCCUGUCGUGGGGAGCAUCGACGCCCGGACCUGACGUUCUCUGACGGCUCCGCGGUAGAGCAUGUAUGCUGGGACCCGAAAGAUGGUGAACUAUGCCUGAAUAGGGUGAAGCCAGAGGAAAC